GUGAUAUAUUAUCGAAUUGAUAUUUGAAAAACACCUUGAGGAUUGAUUAUAAAAAACAUUUGCCUUGUUUCUGUCGAUAUUAUGGAUCUAAUUUGGAAUAUUUUUCAGCGUUGUUUCCGGUGGAUUUCUCAACCGAACGUGAAAAACAAAAGGAGGUAUUUCAGCUAUAAAAAUGAUCUUUAUGGGACAAAAUGAACAUUUGCUGUCUAACUGGGAGUCUCGUGAGUGAAAACAUCCAAAGCUCAUCAAAGGCGUGGAGACCUCACUGCUGAAGGGUGGCCCGGUUCGUUUGCAGUGGGCUCCCGUGCUGGCCCAUCCGGAUCCCUCUUUGGUGUUCAUAGUGGAGGUGGACGCAUCCAAGGCUGGGAUAGGAGCCAUGCUCUCUCAUCGCUCGGGUACGCCACCGAAGCUCCGCCCCAUGCCUUCUUCUCGAAGAAUCUCAGCCCGGCGGAGCGAAACUAUGAUGUGGGGGACCUGUUGGGGAAUAAUCAGAAUUGGUUGAUAACAUAGGUAAAUAGAGGAAAUUUCCACGACAGACCGGGAGCUGUUGGAUAUCGUCAAGGCUCUGAAGGCGUGGAGAUAUUGGCUUGAGUUGGCUAAACACCCUUUUCUCACCUGGACGACCACCGCGUACAUCCAGAUUACCAGGGCAGUGAGGAGUACAUCUGGAGUACAUCCAGGGCAGUGAGGAGAUUGAACCCUCACCAGGCAAGGCAGACGCACUGUCCCGGCUGUAUGACACAGAGGAGCGGCCCAUGGAUCUCACUCCCAUACUCCCCACCUCCUGCCUGGUGGCGCCGGCAGUGCGGGAGCUGGUUGCGGACAUUGAGCAGGCGUUACGUGCAGAGCCC
ensembl:lncRNA